rnacentral:rRNA from 1 species
CGGAUGAUCGCCGAUCCCUGUCCGUGACUCCGACUGCUAUCGGAUUGAUACUAAGCCAAUGCGAGUCAUUGUAGCAAUACAAGGCAGACGGCUCAGUAACGCGUAGUCAAUCUACCCUAUGGACGGGAAUAACCUCGGGAAACUGAGAAUAAUGCCCGAUAGAACAUUAUGCCUGGAAUGGUUUAUGUUUCAAAUGAUUUAUCGCCAUAGGAUGGGACCGCGGCCUAUCAGUUUGUUGGUGAGGUAAUGGCCCACCAAGACUAUUACAGGUACGGGCUCUGAGAGGAGUAGCCCGGAGAUGGGUACUGAGACACGGACCCAGGCCCUAUGGGGCGCAGCAGGCGAGAAAACUUUGCAAUGUGCGAAAGCACGACAAGGUUAAUCCGAGUGGUUUCUGCUAAAGAAACCUUUUGUCAGUCCUAGAAACACUAACGAAUAAGGGGUGGGCAAGUUCUGGUGUCAGCCGCCGCGGUAAAACCAGCACCUCAAGUGGUCAGGAUGAUUAUUGGGCCUAAAGCAUCCGUAGCUCGUUUUGUAAGUUUUCGGUUAAAUCCAUACGCUUAACGUAUGGGCUGCCGGGAAUACUGCAUAACUAGGAAGUGGGAGAGGUAGACGGUACUCGGUAGGAAGGGGUAAAAUCCUUUGAUCUAUUGAUGACCACCUGUGGCGAAGGCGGUCUACCAGAACACGUUCGACGGUGAGGGAUGAAAGCUGGGGGAGCAAACCGGAUUAGAUACCCGGGUAGUCCCAGCUGUAAACUAUGCAAACUCAGUGAUGCAUUGGCUUGUGGCCAAUGCAGUGCUGCAGGGAAGCCGUUAAGUUUGCCGCCUGGGAAGUACGUACGCAAGUAUGAAACUUAAAGGAAUUGGCGGGGGAGCACCACAAGGGGUGAAGCCUGCGGUUCAAUUGGAGUCAACGCCGGAAGGGCAUCUUAAC